UUUCUCUUUGCAACAUAAACAUUAGUAUCUAUACUUCAAGGUUUUGUGAUCAUCAAAAUCAAUCUAUGAAUCAAUCUUUGGGUCAUCAAUCUCCCCCUUUUUGAUGAUGACAAAACUUGGAGUAUAUGCAAUAUAAAAGAUAUUGAUUUCUAGAAGUAAUACAUAGCUAAGUUGCAUGAAGUAGAAAACAUAUAUAUGUAAAAACAUACUUCAUGAUAAUGCUUUAGAUUUAAUCAGCUUAACACAAUCAACAUAUUUCAAUUUAAGCUGAUUUGUAUUCAAUUCAAAGCAUAAAGGCAUUAUGAGCAUAUACUUAGAUAUUUCUCCCCCUUUUUGACAACAUCAAAAAGAUAGGAAAACAUUAAGCACAAAGAUAAGAACACUCAAAUAUUUCUUUCCCU
rnacentral:lncRNA from 1 species